AUUGAACGCUGGCGGCAGGCUUAACACAUGCAAGUCGAACGAGUGGCGGACGGGUGAGUAAUGCUUGGGAAUCUAGCUUAUGGAGGGGGAUAACUACGGGAAACUGUAGCUAAUACCGCAUUCCCUAGGCUGAGCCCAAGUGGGUUUAGGUAGUUGGUGAGGUAAAGGCCCACCAAGCCGACGAUCUCGAGCUGGUCUGAGAGGAUGCCCAGCCACACUGGGACUGAGACACGGCCCAGACUCAUACGGGAGGCAGCAGUGGGGAAUAUUGCGCAAUGGGGGCAACCUGACGCAGCCAUGCCGCGUGAAUGAAGAAGGCCUUCGGGUUGUAAAGUACUUUCGGUAGCGAGGCGUUAACUACAGAAGAAGCACCGGCUAACUCCGUGCCAGCAGCCGCGGUAAUAC
rnacentral:rRNA from 1 species